UGCAGAAAACACUAUGGAUUCCGAUCUUGUUUUAUUGUAGAUCGAAGGCAUCAUUCAUUACUUAGGAUCCUACUUUAUGAUCUUUAAGUAUUUUACAGUCAUAAGCAGUGUACAUUAUUACAACUUACAGCAUUUAAGGAAGAAGAUAUUUGUAUUUUGUACUAUAUUCAAAAAACUUGUUUAGCAGAUAAACCCCAGUCAAACUCUGUAACUGAGGCUAACUGCUACAAGCUAACAUUGUGAAAACUAUUUACAAUAACAGUUUCAAACAGCAUUAUUGUUGCAAAGACUGUGGACUUUUCAUUCAUUUUUUUUUUUCAGUGACUUUUUCAACACAUUAUUUUUUAUUUGUAUUUGAUCAGAUAUGGUGCUAUAUUUGUGGACUUUCACAUAGUGACUUUAUGCCAAUACUGACUACUUGAUCCAUUUU